rnacentral:rRNA from 1 species
GACGAACGCUGGCGGCGUGCUUAACACAUGCAAGUCGAGCGGUAAGGCCCUUUCGGGGGUACACGAGCGGCGAACGGGUGAGUAACACGUGGGUGACCUGCCCUCAGCUCUGGGAUAAGCCUGGGAAACCGGGUCUAAUACUGGAUAUGACUCCAUGACGCAUGUUGUGGGGUGAAAGCCUUGUGCGGCUGAGGAUGGGCCCGCGGCCUAUCAGCUUGUUGGUGGGGUGAGGCCUACCAAGGCGACGACGGGUAGCCGGCCCUGAGAGGGCGACCGGCCACACUGGGACUGAGACACGGCCCAGACUCCUACGGGAGGCAGCAGUGGGGAAUCUUGCGCAAUGGGCGAAAGCCUGACGCAGCGACGCCGCGUGAGGGAUGACGGCCUGGUGU